rnacentral:rRNA from 1 species
AUUGAACGCUGGCGGCAGGCUUAACACAUGCAAGUCGAACGAGUGGCGGACGGGUGAGUAAUGUCUGGGAAACUGCCCGAUGGAGGGGGAUAACUACUGGAAACGGUAGCUAAUACCGCAUACCAUCGGAUGUGCCCAGAUGGGAUUAGCUAGUGGGUGGGGUAAAGGCUCACCUAGGCGACGAUCCCUAGCUGGUCUGAGAGGAUGACCAGCCACACUGGGACUGAGACACGGGCCAGACUCCUACGGGAGGCAGCAGUGGGGAAUAUUGCACAAUGGGCGCAAGCCUGAUGCAGCCAUGCCGCGUGUAUGAUGAAGGCCUUCGGGUUGUAAAGUACUUUCAGCGGGGAGGCGUUACCCGCAGAAUAAGCACCGGCUAACUCCGUGCCAGCAGCCGCGGUAAUUC